UUCGGAGUAGGCAAUUAAGCGUUAAGUGCUAGCGGAACGGAAUGUGAACGUUAGCUUAAAAGGGUAAUCCGCGAUUUAAUUGCCGCAUUCGCCGCA
rnacentral:ncRNA from 2 species